rnacentral:rRNA from 1 species
UACCAGCACCCCGAGUGGUCGGGACGAUUAUUGGGCCUAAAGCAUCCGUAGCCGGCCUUACAAGUCCUCCGUUAAAUCCAGCUGCUUAACAGAUGGGCUGCGGAGGAUACUAUAAGACUAGGAGGCAGGAGAGGCAAGCGGUACUCAGUGGGUAGGGGUAAAAUCCGUUGAUCCAUUGAAGACCACCAGUGGCGAAGGCGGCUUGCCAGAAUGCGCUCGACGGUGAGGGAUGAAAGCUGGGGGAGCAAACGG